rnacentral:rRNA from 1 species
UACAGAGGGGGCGAGCGUUGUUCGGAAUUACUGGGCGUAAAGGGCGCGUAGGCGGCCCGCUAAGUCGAACGUGAAAUCCCCAGGCUCAACCUGGGAACUGCGUCCGAUACUGGCAGGCUUGAAUCCGGGAGAGGGAUGUGGAAUUCCGAGGUGUAGCGGUGAAAUGCGUAGAUAUUGGGAAGAACACCGGUGGCGAAGGCGGCCAUCGUGGACCGCAACUGACGCUGAGGCGCGAAA